UACGGAGUUACAAAGGACGACAUUAGACGAAUCAUCUGGAAAGAUGAAUCAAAGAAGGUAAUAAUCCUGUAGUCGAAAAUGUUGUCUCUCUUGAGUGGAUCCUGAGUACGACGGAGCACGUGAAAUUCCGUCGGAAUCUGGGAGGACCAUCUCCUAAGGCUAAAUACUCUCUAGUGACCGAUAGUGAACCAGUACCGUGAGGGAAAGGUGAAAAGCACCCCGGAAGGGGAGUGAAAUAGAACCUGAAACCGUGUGCUUACAAGUAGUCAGAGCCCGUUAAUGGGUGAUGGCGUGCCUUUUGUAGAAUGAACCGGCGAGUUACGAUUUGAUGCAAGGUUAAGCAGUAAAUGUGGAGCCGUAGCGAAAGCGAGUCUGAAUAGGGCGUUUAGUAUUUGGUCGUAGACCCGAAACCAGGUGAUCUACCCUUGGUCAGGUUGAAGUUCAGGUAACACUGAAUGGAGGACCGAACCGACUUACGUUGAAAAGUGAGCGGAUGAACUGAGGGUAGCGGAGAAAUUCCAAUCGAACCUGGAGAUAGCUGGUUCUCUCCGAAAUAGCUUUAGGGCUAGCCUCAAGUGAUGAUUAUUGGAGGUAGAGCACUGUUUGGACGAGGGGCCCCUCUCGGGUUACCGAAUUCAGACAAACUCCGAAUGCCAAUUAAUUUAACUUGGGAGUCAGAACAUGGGUGAUAAGGUCCGUGUUCGAAAGGGAAACAGCCCAGACCACCAGCUAAGGUCCCAAAAUAUAUGUUAAGUGGAAAAGGAUGUGGCGUUGCCCAGACAACUAGGAUGUUGGCUUAGAAGCAGCCAUCAUUUAAAGAGUGCGUAAUAGCUCACUAGUCGAGUGACACUGCGCCGAAAAUGUACCGGGGCUAAACAUAUUACCGAAGCUGUGGAUUGUCCUUUGGACAAUGGUAGGAGAGCGUUCUAAGGGCGUUGAAGCAUGAUCGUAAGGACAUGUGGAGCGCUUAGAAGUGAGAAUGCCGGUGUGAGUAGCGAAAGACGGGUGAGAAUCCCGUCCACCGAUUGACUAAGGUUUCCAGAGGAAGGCUCGUCCGCUCUGGGUUAGUCGGGUCCUAAGCUGAGGCCGACAGGCGUAGGCGAUGGAUAACAGGUUGAUAUUCCUGUACCACCUAUAAUCGUUUUAAUCGAUGGGGGGACGCAGUAGGAUAGGCGAAGCGUGCGAUUGGAUUGCACGUCUAAGCAGUAAGGCUGAGUAUUAGGCAAAUCCGGUACUCGUUAAGGCUGAGCUGUGAUGGGGAGAAGACAUUGUGUCUUCGAGUCGUUGAUUUCACACUGCCGAGAAAAGCCUCUAGAUAGAAAAUAGGUGCCCGUACCGCAAACCGACACAGGUAGUCAAGAUGAGAAUUCUAAGGUGAGCGAGCGAACUCUCGUUAAGGAACUCGGCAAAAUGACCCCGUAACUUCGGGAGAAGGGGUGCUCUUUAGGGUUAACGCCCAGAAGAGCCGCAGUGAAUAGGCCCAAGCGACUGUUUAUCAAAAACACAGGUCUCUGCUAAACCGUAAGGUGAUGUAUAGGGGCUGACGCCUGCCCGGUGCUGGAAGGUUAAGAGGAGUGGUUAGCUUCUGCGAAGCUACGAAUCGAAGCCCCAGUAAACGGCGGCCGUAACUAUAACGGUCCUAAGGUAGCGAAAUUCCUUGUCGGGUAAGUUCCGACCCGCACGAAAGGCGUAACGAUUUGGGCACUGUCUCAACGAGAGACUCGGUGAAAUCAUAGUACCUGUGAAGAUGCAGGUUACCCGCGACAGGACGGAAAGACCCCGUGGAGCUUUACUGUAGCCUGAUAUUGAAAUUCGGCACAGCUUGUACAGGAUAGGUAGGAGCCUUUGAAACGUGAGCGCUAGCUUACGUGGAGGCGCUGGUGGGAUACUACCCUAGCUGUGUUGGCUUUCUAACCCGCACCACUUAUCGUGGUGGGAGACAGUGUCA
rnacentral:rRNA from 1 species